rnacentral:rRNA from 1 species
UACGUAGGGUGCAAGCGUUAAUCGGAAUUACUGGGCGUAAAGCGUGCGCAGGCGGUUAUGCAAGACAGAGGUGAAAUCCCCGGGCUCAACCUGGGAACUGCCUUUGUGACUGCAUAGCUAGAGUACGGUAGAGGGGGGAUGGAAUUCCGCGUGUAGCAGUGAAAUGCGUAGAUAUGCGGAGGAACACCGAUGGCGAAGGCAAUCCCCCUGGACCUGUACUUGACGCUCAUGCACGAAAAGCGUGGGGGAGCAAACAGG